GGUCGAGUAGAACAACCAGGUGAC
rnacentral:siRNA from 1 species